rnacentral:rRNA from 1 species
GAUGAACGCUGGCGGCGUGCCUAAUACAUGCAAGUCGAGCGCGACUGAUUACACCGUUCUUCGGAACACCGUAAUCAUCGCGCGGCGGACGGGUGAGUAACACGUGGGCAACCUACCCUUAAGACUGGGAUAACCGCGGGAAACCGUGGCUAAUACCGGAUAAUACUUUUAUACAACGGUAUAUAAGUUGAAAGGUGGAUUUCUAUCACUUAUGCAUGUGCCUGCGGCGCAUUAGCUGGUUGGUAAGGUAACGGCUUACCAAGGCGACGAUGCGUAGCCGACCUGAGAGGGUGAUCGGCCACACUGGAACUGAGACACGGUCCAGACUCCUACGGGAGGCAGCAGUAGGGAAUCUUCCGCAAUGGGCGAAAGCCUGACGGAGCAACGCCGCGUGUGCGAAGAAGGUCUUCGGAUCGUAAAGCACUGUUGUUAAGGAAGAACGACAGUAAGAGUAACUGUUUACUGUGUGACGGUACUUAACCAGAAAGCCACGGCUAACUACGUG